GACGAACGCUGGCGGCGUGCUUAACACAUGCAAGUCGAACGGUGAAGCUCCAGCUUGCUGGAGUGGAUCAGUGGCGAACGGGUGAGUAACACGUGAGCAACCUGCCCCUGACUCUGGAAUAAGCGCUGGAAACGGCGUCUAAUACUGGAUACGAGAAGGGUCCGCAUGGGCACUUUCUGGAAAGUUUUUCGGUUGGGGAUGGGCUCGCGGCCUAUCAGCUUGUUGGUGAGGUAAUGGCUCACCAAGGCGACGACGGGUAGCCGGCCUGAGAGGGCGACCGGCCACACUGGGACUGAGACACGGCCCAGACUCCCACGGGAGGCAGCAGUGGGGAAUAUUGCACAAUGGGCGAAAGCCUGAUGCAGCGACGCCGCGUGAGGGAUGACGGCCUUCGGGUUGUAAACCUCUUUCAGCAGGGAAGAAGCGAAAGUGACGGUACCUGCAGAAGAAGCACCGGCUAACUACGUG
rnacentral:rRNA from 1 species